rnacentral:rRNA from 1 species
UACGAAGGGUGCAAGCGUUACUCGGAAUUACUGGGCGUAAAGGGUGCGUAGGUGGUUUGUUAAGUCUGCUGUGAAAUCCCCGGGCUCAACCUGGGAAUGGCAGUGGAUACUGGCAAGCUAGAGUGCGGCAGAGGAGACUGGAAUUCCUGGUGUAGCAGUGAAAUGCGUAGAUAUCAGGAGGAACACCGAUGGCGAAGGCAGGUCUCUGGGCUGACACUGACGCUCAUGCACGAAAGCGUGGGGAGCAAACAGG